AUUGAACGCUGGCGGCAGGCCUAACACAUGCAAGUCGAGCGAGCGGCGGACGGGUGAGCAAUGUAUGGGGAUCUGCCUGAUGGAGGGGGAUAACUACUGGAAACGGUAGCUACUACCGCAUACCAUCAGAUGAACCCAUAUGGGAUUAGCUAGUCGGUGAGGUAACGGCUUACCUAGGCGACGAUCCCUAGCUGGUCUGAGAGGAUGAUCAGCAACACUGGGACGGAGACACGGCCCAGACUCCUACGGGAGGCAGCAGUGGGGAAUAUUGGACAAUGGGCGAAAGCCUGAUACAGCCAUGCCGCGUGUAUGAAGAAGGCCUUCGGGUUGUAAAGUACUUUCAGUCGGGAGGCGUUACCGACAGAAGAAGCACCGGCUAACUCCGUGCCAGCAGCCGCGGUAAUAC
rnacentral:rRNA from 1 species